rnacentral:rRNA from 2 species
AACGAAGUGAAUUGAAAUAUCUUAGUAACUUUAGGAAAAGAAAUCAAACGAGAUUAUUAUUAAGUUUAUACUUAAUAAUAAAAAAAGCCAAAUUCAAUUAAUAAGCUAAAGAAGUAAAAAUAUAAGUAUCUUAAAAAAAUAUUCUAUAAAAAAAUUCUAAAAAUAAAAUGGAUUAAAAUCUGUUUGAAUAAAGGGGAACCUUCCUCUAAGGCUAAAUAUGAUAUAUAAGCGAUAGUGAAAAGUACCGUGAGGUAAAAUUUGAAAUAGUAGUUUUAUAAGCAGCUCGAAAAAAAAUUUAAAUAAAAAAUAAGAGUGUACCUUUUGCAUAGUUAAUUUAAGAUGCAAGCUAUAAGAUAUUUUCUUACUAGCUUAGAUAAACCAAUUAUGAAAAAAUGAAUAGUAUCUUGAAUUAGACCCGAAGGCUAGUGAUCUUACCAUGGUCAGGGUUAUAAAAGCCCGAACGGGUUAUCGUUGUAUAGAUAUCCGAAGAAUUGUGGUAAGUUAGUGAAAGACAAAACUGACUAGUAUAGCUGGUUUUCCGCGAAACCUAUAUGAGUAGGUAAUUUAAUUAACAUCUUAGCAGGUACAGAACUGUGAUCUCGGAUAAUAUCAAUUGAUUUUAUCAACAUCGGGGGGUUGUAGUGACUUUACUGGAGAGUUUUUGCACUCGGAAUGGCAAAGAUGAUUAUUGAAUAAUCGGACAUAGUGCGAUAAGGUUGUAUGUCAAAAGGGAAACAGCCCAGAACAAGAGUUAAGGUUCCAAAAUUAUUGUUGAGUGAAAUUAAGGAUGUUUUUUUUUAAAACAAUCAGGAAAUAGGCUUAGAAGCGGCCAUUUUUUGAAGACCUCGUAACAGAGCACUGAUUAAAUUAUAGGAAUAAAUACCGAAAAUUUAACGGAUCUAAAUAAUAUACCAAAACCUUGUACACAUAUUUUAAUAUUAAUAUUUAUAUUGUAUAUGUGGGGUAGCGGAACAUUGGAUAAAUAUUAUUUAUUAUUUCUUCUAAGAGAUAAUAACUAGGUAAUAUAUUAAAUUAUAUUUAAAUUAAAUUUAUUACUUAAUAUAAUCCAAGAGAGAAUGCUGACAUGAGUAACGAAAAAGGAAUAUCCUCGCCUUAAGCUUAUGGUAUUAUAUUUAAUUUUCGGUAUCUAAAAAUAUUUAUCAAAUGGAAAUUUUGAUGAUGUAUAUAUAUAUAUUAGUUUAUUAUAGUUUAAACCUAUAAAUCUUUUAUAUGUAAUAAUAACCUUUUAUAAGUAAUAAAGGUUCUGGAAAAAUUAAUUACUAAACUAUUUAUAAUAAUAUAUUUUUGAUAGAAAGGGGAGAUUUGACCCCUCUCGAUUUAAUUAUCAUUUCAUUUCUUGAAUUUCUAGUUAUGUAAUUCUUGUUUUACUUAUUUAAAAAAAAAAUAUUUGUAUUCAAGUAGAAUAUUAUGUAAUCUCUUUUAAAAAAGGGUAGAAAAAUAUUAUUUGUAGCUAUGUAUAAAGCAUAUGUGAUAUAUAUUUUAUAUAUAAUAUAUACAUAUAUAUUAAGAUUAAUCUAAUUAUAUAUACCGUACCUAGAUACUAUCACAAGUAAGCAAGUAGAGAAUACAAAGGCGUUUGAGUGAACAAUCAUUAAGGAACUCGGCAAAUUGACUACCGUAACUUCGGGAUAAGGAGGGCCAUUAUUAUAAAUUAAGUGUGAUAUUUAUUCUGAUAAAUAAAGUGCUUUUAAAAUUAAAUAAUAAGAGGAAACAUAAAAUAAUGUUGUACGACUGUUUAAUAAAAACACAGCACUCUGCUAAGAUAAAAUAUCAAUGUAUUGAGUGUGAUGUCUGCCCAAUGUCGGCCGGAUAACUAAUUUACCUAGGUUUUUAACUAAGGUUUUGAUGGAUACCCCGAUUAAUGGCGGCCUUACCUAUGAGGGUCCUAAGGUAGCGAAAUACCUUGGCCGUUAAAUGCGGUCCUGCAUGAAUGACUUAACGAUACAACAGCUGUCUCGAUGAUUGUCUCAGUGAAAUUGGAAUAGCAGUGCAGAUACUGUUUACCUCUAGAUAGACGAGAAGACCCUAUGCAGCUUUACUGUUACUAAUUGUAAAAGUUUAAAUUAAGGAUGAUUUCGAGUGUAUAAGGUAGUUGAUUGAUAAUAAUGAAACACCUUUAUUCGUUUCCAAUUAUACGCUUUUGAGGAUUAGAAGGCAGUUUAUGCGGGGCACAGAUCCCACAAAAAGUACCUGGGUAUAUCCAAAGUUCAUAUUGUAAAUUUGUAAUUUUAUUACAAAUAUUUUAAUUUGUUAUAUUUAUUUUUAUAAAUAUACAGUUAUUGUUGAAUUAAGUUUAAUUAUUUAUUUUAUUUUAAGUAAGAUUUUAACUAUAUGGUGAAUAGAUGUAUUUAAAACUUUAAUAUUUAAAAGUUUUUUGUCAUAUUAAUUUUGUAUAUUAUCUUUGUUAAUAUGAUGAUUAAUUAUACUUUAAAAGUUUAAUGGCUAAAUCUUGCUUUACUGUUUGACCUACAAGUCUAUCAGUCGCGUAAGCGGGGCAUAUGAUCACAAGAUGCAUUAAGGAAAGGUCUUGGAUUAUAGAAAAAGUUACGCUAGGGAUUUAUAACUGUGAGUCCUCCAAUAUAAAAAAAUAUAUAUUGGUAAUAUAUUGGGUAAAUUUCAAAAAUAAUGAUAACAAAAUUGAACAGGCUAAUUUGCGCAAGAGAGUACAAAUUGAGUGCGCGGUUUGGCACCUCGAUGUCGGCUUAGCUCAUCCACAUGAAUGCAAAAAUCAUGAAGGGUUCGACUGUUCGUCGAUUAAAGAGCUACAUGAGCUGGGUUUAAUACGUCGUGAGACAGUAUGGUUUCUAUCUUCUAGAGGAAAUUAAAGUAAAAUAAAGAUAGCCCCUUCGUACGAAAGGAGUUGGGUAUAUUGACCUAUGGUUUACCUGUUGUUUAUGUUAUGUAAUGUCAUUUACUUAAACUUAAGUAAAUUGUUCACAUAGGCAUGGCAGGAAGGCUACGUCAGUUAAAGAUAAGUGCUGAAUGCAUUUAAGCGCAAAGCUUACUUUAAGAUACUUUUUAACGUAGUAGAACACUACGA